UGAAACUUGAGGGCAUUAUGCUAAGUGAAAUAAGACAGACAAAGACAAAUACUGUAUGGUCUCACUCCUAUGUGGAAUCUUAAAAGUGUUCAUAGAGGGAGAUUUUUUUUUAUUCUCCAUUCAUAGCCCAAGUUUAAGAUUUUUUCCUUGAGUGGACCCUGGACUUUGUCCCCUAUCCCCUGUGCCACUAAGAAGUACAUGAAAACCAAAGCUCAAAUUCACCCCCAUCAUAGGGCAAAUGCUUUCAAAGUAAAAACUGCUUACCAUUGAGGGUUCCCAGUUUUCCUUAGGUGUAGGCCUCUGUGUAUUCCUCACCAACUAGCCAAUACACUGAUGGAUUUGCGAAGAUAUCUGUCAUUUUCUAUCCAGCAUUUUUAGUUGCUUACUGAGAGAGGUUCCAGGUUCAUCAUAGCAGGAAACAGUAGUCAGGACUGAAUGUUAUUAAAUGUGUACACAUACACACACACACACACACACACACACACACACAGAUAUAAUUGCACUGCUAAUAAAAUUUUCUGAAUUUAGUUCCAAAUUUAGUAUCACUUGUAUACAUGAUUAAAAUGAGUAGAUAAUAAAUUUACUUUCCAAGAUCCAUAAUUGCAGCUCUUUGUCCCCACCAGUAACUACAAGCAGUUUUUCAUUAAAGAAAAGAAAAUGAUUGAAUAAUCCAAAUUAGCCUGGGCAAGAAAACUAACAGCUGCUUAAAAUGAAAUGUUUGAGUUAUGAGCCAUGUGCCACUUUGGUUUAUCUGCAGCCAAAAGGUUUAGAAUCCUUAUUCAAUUAACCAUGUUGCUUGGGAGGGCCUGGUUGCCCUGAAUAAGAGCUGCCUGGUGAUGAGUAAGAGGUAUUCGUGACACACAAGUUCAGACCUUGCAACUCUGUUUUUGUUGUUUGAACUUUCUUCUCCGUUGUAGCUAGGGAUCCGGCGUGGAAUUUAAACACUUGUGUGGUAACUCCAUUCCUUCAGCCAUUGUGUUGUUAAGCUCUAGCUAACGAACUUUUAACACUGGCUUGAUGUAAAGCAAGACUGAGAAAAUAGCCCCCAUCAACAUUUCUGGUUUUAUAAUUAAAAACUAUAUGAUUUCUAUGUCUUUAAGAAGUCAGAUGCUCAUGCCUGUGGAGUCCAGCUGUUCCCCCAAAAGUAACCUUCGUAAUAUAUGUGAAAAAUAAAUAAACCAAGGUGCAUCUAAGAAAGCUGAAAUUAAGAAAUGACCUACAUUUCAAAAAUCAUACCUCUUGUAACAGAAACUCCAACAUGCAUACCUGUAUUAAAACUUAGGAACUUUGCCUAAAAUAAAGGAAACAAACUUAUGUAACAUUUGGAAAGGUGAGUAUUGCUAAACAUACCGGUCAAGUAUACUUUGUCUCAUGUGGCCCUUUUCUUCCAGGCCAACAGUUUUUGUUGCCUAGGGAGAUCCUCCUGAUAAUGUCACAAAGAAUGUUUCUCAGACCCAUAUAGAUUGUGUACACGUCGGCUUGCUAAAGACAAGUUUUGAUUUUAAAUCUCUAAGCUUCAGUUGUUUCUAAGCAUACUGUUUGAAACAAAAAACAGGUGAAUAGACGAGAGAAGACUCAAUUUCUUCUCCCACUCAUCAACCACUUCUGAAGAUGAUUCUGGCUGAGAAAAUUUAAAUACAGUUUGAAUAAUGAUAUGUAAUUUGACAUAAAAUGUCUCAGAAUUUGAAGAAUUACUUUGAAGAAUUACUAUCCACUUGAACAUACACACUGAUUUCUGAUGUUUUACGUCACAAUCUUUUCAUGUUACAAAAUUAGAUUUGCUUUUUGCAUCUUAUUUUCUUCAACUGCAGUCAUAUUAUAAAGCACAGUUGUAUACUUUCAUUUAGGUGACAUGAAGACAUCUUUUCGUUUAAGUUAAUACCUAAUCUUGUUUGUCAAAUAGAAGCAAAGAAACACCUUUGAAAUCAGCAGUUUCAAUUAAAACUUCAGUCAUAUCAAAAUAAUCAUUUUAUUUCUGUGUUUAUAAAAAAUGCAACAGCUGUUCAGGAAAUACAGCUAUAUCGCAGACUGAAAAUUUAAAUGUUGCAGAUAUUAUUGUCUUUCAGUUGCGGUAAGACAAACAGUGGUUUUAUUAUUUCAAGAAUCAAAGAAUGAACUGUAUGUGUACUGUUUUGUUUGGGUUGUUUGUUUUUUAGACUUUUUAGGAAAGUUUUCUGGUUCCAUAUUAGAUUUAAAAAAAAAAAAAAAACCAAUUGACCAAAUCAUACCUGGAAACUCGGGCACAUUAUUUUGUUUUCAUAUGGAUGGCAAAAAAAUUAAUAGAAUUGACUUUCUUUCAUACUAAUACCUUUGACCUGUGCUCCAAGCCUACUCUCCAUUUCAGUUCCUACCCUAUAUCUUCAUUAUUGAAUUCAUUUACCAUUUUUAAGCCUCUACUCAGUCAAAUCCACCUUCGUGUGUUUAAAUCCAAUUCAUCCUUCAAGAAUACUUACACGCCACCCCCGACAUGAAGCUUUCCCUAAUUCCCCACCCUAACCUCACCACCAAGCCACAGUUAAUCUCUCUUCUAUAUGCCUCAUAGCUCUGUCGUCAUCUGUAUUAGGGCAGUUAUUAGUAUUCCUGUAUAGUAUUCCUGUACUAUCUCCCAUUACAGUGCAGCUUCUACAGGUCAGAGAUUGUCCAUAUUUCUUUGCGCAGGUAAAAUACUUGGUAAAUAGUCAUUCUUGUUAAUGACAAAAACUAAAUCUUCCAACUGCAUUGUUUUAUCAACAUUUGUGUGAUGUGUCUUUUAAUAAAAGAUGAAGAUUUGAGUGUCAUUUCCCAAAAUAGUGGUGUUAAAAUACAUUAGCAUGUCAAAUUAUUUAGCACUUGGCAUAUUAUCAGGUGAAACGUGCUCAUCUGAAGACUUUAACUUUUAACCAUAAUAAGUUAAAGUGAAGAGUUUCGGUCUUUUGUGUUGUUUGUUUGAUUUUGAUUAGGUUUGGUUUUUUAAGCAGAAUUUCUUGUGUAACUGUCAAAUGUUGGUCCCUAUAAAGUUGAAAUCUUACUCUAUGAUAAAGUGAAGACAUGGUUCCAUUGUCUUGGAAAGUUUAAACAAAAUUUCCAGACCCCAAAAUAAGCCAUUGAACUCUUUAUUGAACAAUGCUAAUAACUAAAUUGCUUUCUGGAAUCAAGUGUAUCAAAAAUCAAAGAAAGAGAAUGCAAGCAAUGUAUAAACCAAUGUGUGUUUGGAUGUCUGUUGAUAUUGCUGUGAUGUACUUUAAAUCAUGAUUUCAAAUUCAUUGAUUCUUCAUUUCCAAAAAGUAAAAUUUCCUAAAUUCUGAUUAUUUUGAUAAAUUUUCUUGUUAUUUUACUUUCUAGUUAUGUAUUAUUCUUUUAGUUCUAAGCCAUAUUUUAAGAUAUGUGAGAACAAAUAAAUUGUGCAUGAACAUUUCCCAUCAAGUGGCAGCUUCAAAAAUUAAUAUUUAGCAACUAAUUUUCUGUCUCUUCUCCACCAGUUUUCAUUAUGUAACUUGUUCAAUGAAGAUCCUAAAGCUUAAAAAAUACAAAUCAUUUUCCAAUAAAUAGGUCAGUUAUAUCAAAGCCUUUUUGAAACACUCAAGCGUAGAAUAUUCACUACAUUUACUUGUAUGACUAUGAAUGACAUUAACACACUGAAAAUCGUUAAGUUCCUUAAAGAAGUUUUUUCUCAUAAAUUCACCCUGGCUGUCUAACCAAAUUACAUUUUCAAGAAAGUAUGGCCUCUGAAAUUGCUUAUAGUAUGUACCUCACACACAAAGUUACCUAUCUUAGUUACUCUGGUUGCCAGUAGAGUGAUUCACUUUCAAUAACAGUAUUUUGUUUGUAAUUUUCUAGGAACUACAGCCCUUUACUCAUCAAGCAACAGUAAACCAAAACUGCCAACAUUGUUUACCAUGUUGAAAAAUUAAAAUUAUCUUCAUGAAUAGUGCUCAAAUGCUGGCACAUGGCUAAAUGAAUCAUCUUUGUCUUAAAGCAAAAAGGUGACAAAGCCUAUGAGGACUCUGGAUUACUUGGAAUAAAGAAAGACAAGGAAGAGAAAUCUAAAUAACAGACUGAAAAGAGGAGAAAGACUAACCUAAAAUUCCACCGAUGGAUUGCAUCAUGCUUAAGACUGGCUACUACACCACUCUUUCUGAUGCUGAAGAUAAAAAGGACUAUGUUUCACUCUGUUUUAAAGUUAAUUUGUGCUUACUAAGAUCUCAGGUUAUUCCACAAACAACUGGUAUUUAUAUCAACUGGUAACAAUUGUAAGUGACCGUAAGACUUUGAAAUACUCUGAAACAUUGCAGACCUCACUUUAUGUAAGAAGGCUCUUUGAACAUUUUUAAAGUAGCACUUUUUAUACAGAGACUUAAAUAAAACCCAGUGCUAUCACUUACUGUACCAUAAUGAAACAAAAAUCGGGUGGAACUUGCCCAUCACAGAACCUAACUUGAGAGAAUCUGGUAUCUUUCAAUCUUGUAGUCAGUGCAUUUAUAGACUAUAAUAUUAUUAAACAACUUCUUAAUGUUACUCUUUGAAUCAUCAGAAGCCUUACAACUUUCAUCUUGAUUACAAUUCCAAUUUUCCCUUUCACCUAUUGUGUUUUAUAAGAUAAGAUAGGUGAGUGGAAUGUGCUCAUUUGUCAUUUGUUCUCUCUACUUAACGCAGUCUCCUCUUACUGUGGUUACACUUCCAAAGUGAAUUAUUUGUCAGAUUCAGUAAGUAUUUCCUUUCUAAUUGCCUAACUCAGUAGAGAUGUUGUAACUUAAGAGACGGGUGUGGUCUGGAGUGUUGAUCCUCAACAUAGCAUGGUCCAGUGGUCACUGUAUACGAAGUAAGCCCUUCAGAGCCAUGGGAGUCCAGAUGAAUCCGAGAUUCCAAAUCAUAAUAUAACUUUGAAGCUCCAGACUCUGGCAUCCCUGGAAUUGAAAUUUAGAAAUUUAACUUCUUUUUAGAAGUUUUAUAAUGAACUUCCUCAGUCUUUUUACUAUAUAAAACCCUGACAUAAUGUAUUCCUGACAGGCCACAUGCAAAUCUGUGGGCCACACACAAGUUCACAAAUACUCUAAACUCUCUCUAGUACAAGGAACAGUCUUGGGGUUGGUUUCUAGAUUCUAUUCUUAUAAUUUAAGGACUUACCACAUUUUAAGAGGUUGAAGUCCUUUGACUUCUUAUCAUAGUCAUACUUAAAAUGUGAAGAAGCUGCUUGACCUAGUAUUGGAUGGCAUCUCACAAAUGGACCCAGUCUCCUGUUUGUAAUUGCCUGAUGUAAUUCAAAUGAAUUAUUGAGGUUUAACUUUAUUAUCCCCUUCUCAGUAUUAAGAGUAAAAAAUCAAAGGCUUAUACAUCAUAAAGGUGUUUUCCCAGCUGGGGCACUUUAUUUGGAUCAAUCUUAGGUGAGAAUUAAAGGAAGUAAAGGUGUAUAGAUCAGCUAAAUACAUAGAGGCAGGCAUUCAGGUAUCUGAAACAGGUUUUAGAGCUAAUAAAAAUGUAUCCUCAAAGAGGUAUACUUAAAAUAUAAGUCCAUUUUACCUAAAUACCAGAGAAAAUAUUCCAUUGGCAAAAUGUUUUGCAAUGGGUAUAGUGCUUCUCCAUUACACUGAUAAAAAAAUGGGAGUCCUUCAAUUCUUGACAUUUAAAUCUAUUCUGGACCUGGCCUGGAAUAACUCUGAGGGGAAUAAUCUUGCAGGUGAGUGGACUAGAAAACACAAUAAAUAAGUCUUUUCCAUCACCAUAUUCUAUGGCCCCAUGAUUCAGUGAAUCUCAAGACUAAGUGUACUUAGGGUUUGCACUUUAGAUAAUACAGAAUUAUCAUUUCUACUGAAAUGUUUUACAUUUCCUUCCCUCCUAAUUUUGUUUCAGAGCCAAAGACAUCCACAUGAAAAUCAUGGUAUAUUGUGUUUAGUAAUUCAUCCAUCCUAUGGUGCCCUGCUUACUUGAAGUCACAUAAUCCUUCAUGUGUGCUCUGGCACCAGACAAAUUGUUUAUGUGAUAAACCACAGGACUGCCCUGUGGCUUCUGGGGUCUGGUGGAUAUAUGUCAGAAUUAAAACUUUUAUUCAGAGAAUGGUCCUUAGACUGGGUCUGCAAUGUAGUUACUCUGAAGUACUCAAAAUAUCAUAAAAGUUAAUUCCCAGAUACCUCUAUCUAGAUAGAACUUAUUCUGGCCAUACAUAUUAUGUUAAAGUCUUAUUCAAGUUGUUAAUCUGUAAGAUCUAAACCACUGCCAUCUUUACCCUGUGUAAAUGCCUUUAGUUCCACAAUAUUUGGAAACAUGUGAAGGACGCACAACAAUCUAUCACAUGUGGAAUAACGUGUCACAAUUAAGGACAAAGAUUAAGCCUCCCAUUGAUGUUACAAAAGAGAUCUUUUUAAGGUGACUAAAGUAACACCACGCUGGAAAUACACUGGUCACCAAAAUUCAAACCUAUUCUUUAAUAGAUUAACAAAAGCUGGGGUAAGGGUCCAGAAGAGAAGUCACGUAUUCUUUGAUAACUUGAGAUAAGUAUUGGGAGUUUAAUAUCUAAAGAAUAGCACUGCCCAUGGACUUCUCAGAAUAUCUGCAAGGUAAAUGUUUUACACCCUUUUUGAUGUAAAUGAAAAAGAUUUCACAGAAGCAAAUAUAUGUUUUAACAUAAGUUAUAUUCAGGAUGCUGUUCUAUAAGACAAAAAGAAAAGGUAAAAAAGGAAGGAAGAAAGAACUGAAGCCUUCUUUUUAAUCUUACCUAUCAUACUGGAUUUUUUUCUCUCCUCUCCUUACUCCAAGUGCCUAGACCUAAAAAUUGGAGUGGUCAGAGUUCUAGGGCUAAAUUUGUAAAUGUUACAAAUAAAUAAAUGAUGAAGGGAAAUAAUUAAUUAAAUAAAUAAAUUCCUGUAUCUCCUGA